rnacentral:rRNA from 1 species
AACGAACGCUGGCGGCAUGCCUAACACAUGCAAGUCGAACGAGACCUUCGGAUCUAGUGGCGCACGGGUGCGUAACGCGUGGGAACCUGCCCUUAGGUUCGGAAUAACUCCCCGAAAGGGGUGCUAAUACCGGAUAAUGUCUUCGGACCAAAGAUUUAUCGCCUUUGGAUGGGCCCGCGUUGGAUUAGCUAGUUGGUAGGGUAAAAGCCUACCAAGGCGACGAUCCAUAGCUGGUCUGAGAGGAUGAUCAGCCACACUGGGACUGAGACACGGCCCAGACUCCUACGGGAGGCAGCAGUGGGGAAUAUUGGACAAUGGGCGAAAGCCUGAUCCAGCAAUGCCGCGUGAGUGAUGAAGGCCUUAGGGUUGUAAAGCUCUUUUACCCGGGAUGAUAAUGACAGUACCGGGAGAAUAAGCUCCGGCUAACUCCGU